rnacentral:sRNA from 1 species
AUGAAUUUGUUAAAAAAAAUCCAGUUCUGUUUCAAGCCCAUCUGGAAAGGAUCUCGGACUUCAUGUUGGCAGGAAAAGCUGUAUGGUGGUCAUGGAAAGAAGGCGGCAUUGAAUUCUAUGAUGGUGAGGAUGAGCCUUGCAGGAAACAGGAAGGUCCACGAAUUAACAACUUUACCUCCUUCAAUCUGCACAGAGAAACAUCCUUUUUGGCCUCUGUUUGGAAAAACAUGUGUUGACAAAUUUGCAGAAGGUCUCCUCAAACUCCCCAUCAAGAGAAUCAGGGUCUACUAUGAAGAGGAAGCAAAAUUCAUAUAUCCACUAAAUGACACGACUGAUCCUUGCGCCAACAUGGUGACAGAACAGGACCCUUUUUGCAGACAAGGGGAGGACUCGGAGUCGUUGAGUCAGAUGAAGAAUGAUGCAGGAAAAUGUUUCCAGCAUUACCAGGACAAUGCUGUAGAGACACAUCCCAAUAAUGACAAUAAAGGCAAUGGGGCAGAGGCUUGCCCCCAUGAUGCUCAGGAAGACACGACUGAUCCUUGCGCCAACAUGUUGACAGAACAGGACCCUUUUUGCAGACAAGGGGAGGACUCUGAGUCGUUGAAUCAGGUAACCUACAAUUUCAAUGCUACAAUAAAAGAAAGGCAAGGUGUUAAAUGA